AUUGAACGCUGGCGGCAGGCCUAACCCAUGCAAGUCGAACGAGUGGCGGACGGGUGAGUAUUGUCUGGGAAACUGCUUGAUGGAGGGGGUUAACAACUGGAAACGGUACCUAAUACCGCAUACCAUCAGAUGUGCCCAGUUGGGUUUAGCUUGUGGGUGGGGAAACGUCUCACCAAGGCGACGACCCCUAGCUGGGCUGAGAGGAUGACCAGCCACACUGGAACUGAGACACGGUCCAGACUCCUACGGGAGGCAGCAGUGGGGAAUAUUGCACAAUGGGCGCAAGCCUGAUACAGCCAUGCCGCGUGUAUGAAGAAGGCCUUCGGGUUGUAAAGUACUUUCAGCGGGGAGGCGUUACCCGCAGAAGAAGCACCGGCUAACUCCGUGCCAGCAGCCGCGGUAAUAC
rnacentral:rRNA from 1 species